GGAAGUUCUAUGUGUUAAGUCGCUUCAGUCGUGUUCAACUCUUUGUGACCUGUGGACUGUAGCUCAGCAGGCUCCUCAGUCUAUGGCGUUUCCAGCUCGGGGCCAGCCCAGACCGAAUGUGGUUUCCUCUCGGUGUGUAUGCACGUGUGCAGGCAAGUGUGCGGGCAAGUGUGCGUGUGUCAGAGCGACUCGCCUUUCAUGGACCUGGGGUUCAUGGCCACCUGAGGAGCCCAGGACUCCCUCUCAGACCUGCCCAACAUGCCAAGACGUUUUGGGACCCAGAUAGACACUCAUAGACCUGGGCAAGUACCUGUAUUGUGUUAGCUUCUGCUGUACCUCAACAUGAAACAGCCACGGGCGUACAUAUGUCCCCUCCCUCCCACCGCCCUCCAGGUUUGAGCUCCCUGAGUCAUACAGCAAAUUCCACUGGCUAUUUUAUAUAUGGAGAGAAGGAGGGGGCCAGCUAACACCCUCUGUCCAGAUGGCAGUUGGAGUCAAUGAAGCUCAGAGGAGUGAGUGAUUCACCAGGACCGAGUAGCAAGACGGCAGCUGAUGGGAGAUCAGGGCUCCUGCCUGCCCUUUUUAAAAAAUCAUAUCAAGAUUUAAUGUACAUAUACUCUUUUUUUAAAAAAAUACCUAUGUUCCUAACAUGUGGGACAUACAGUAUAAAGAUUUCAUACUGGAUAAAUGAUGCUCAUUAAGCCAAAAGAGAGAAAAAGGAGGACUUUGCCUUGCUUCAGCUACAUUAUUUGAAAUACAAAUAUGCAGAUUUUGUUACUGGGAAAAAUCUGAACUGUUUCUUUAUCAGGAACUUCAACUGAAUCUAGAAUUUUCCACACCUUAAUUAUAAAGAAAGCACAACAAUAACAAAACUCAGAAAAACUGGACUAAAACUUCCUUAGCUCCUGAGACAGGACUGUUUCACAUCGUGUCAAGAGAGACGACGUCCAGCAGGAGAUUGAAUGGCUGUGUCUCACUUUCACAGGUCACCCACUUGCCAAGUUGUGAUACUAUAAAAGAGUGACUGGGAGGUGACCAAACUGUGGAGACUCAGAGGGUGUGUGCAGCAGGAGCGUCAUACAUGCAGAUCGCAGAGCUCAUCGCUUUUCCAGGAAUGAGUUGCAAGGCAGAAAGACCAGGGAUGCUCAGAGCUUGAGUGCCCCGGGCAGUUGCUGUGUCCCUGGCAUGACUGGGCUGCCACUGGAAUCUCAUCACCUGCCAGGACUCAGGAGGAAGUAGGGAGGACAUCUUGGGUGGGAUGGCAGGGGCAGCGGGGCCUUCCAAGCCUCUGUGGACAAAGCCUGGAGGGGCCAGCACUAGGGAGGACCUCUGUGUGGUCUUAGGCCUGUGCAAGGCCCUGCCCUUGCAUAGGAAGAGAUGAUCCUCAUUCCUGGCUUUCUCCAAAGACUGUCUCCUUGAGUUCUUCCACAGCGGUCAUCAACUGGAGACCUGGGGGCCUUGUGUGGGCUGCAGACAGGUUUUAUUUGAUUGAAUUGUUUUCAAUAACUGCAAUAGCAGUCAGCAUUGAAACACUGAUUUCAAAUCAAAACUCUGGGCCUUUUCUGAGAACGUGGGCCAUCUGGCCACCCAGGAGCCCAGCCCUGUGUGGCCACUAUUGCUGGGCCCAGUUGAGUCCCUGCUGCCCUUUAGCACAUGUCCCUGGGUUCCCACCCAGCCAGCCUCCCUCAUUUUCAUCACCUGCCUGGCAUGGGUCCUGGGACCCAUCCCCAAGUCUGUAUUUUAUUGAUGGUGAAGCCGGAGACCUGCCUUAAAAGAUGUAGAAACAGAAACUCUGAGAGUCCUCCCCAUCCCAGCCCUUUUGAGCAGCUUCAGGUUUCUGUGGGCCAGAGACAGCUGGGCCAACAGAAGAGGAGGUGAUGGUGGCCCUCACUCCACCUCCACCGUGGAUGUGCCCCCUCCCCACCCCCAACAACCAUUGCAUUUUCCAGAUUAAAGAUUCCAGGCAGGCUGGGACUUAUUUCCCACUCAGUGUCUGGGACGUAUUCUCCUUCAAGUCAUUACAGGUUCGAGAUCUCCAGCAACCCCGGGUCUUGAAGGCGGGGCUGUCUUUUCUGACAGCCCCGGGGUGCUCAGACACCAAGCUUCCUCUGUUCCCUUUCCAUUCGCCCCGCUCUAGCCUUUGGUCUGGGUGCAGCCUGUCAGCAUUAAGUAAGCACUUCUUGUGGUUCGCUUAUAACAAUUCUUCAGAUCUUGGGAGCCGGGCUGUGGGGCUCUGCAUAUGUAUAGAUCUCAUUUUCACACAACAGGCUGCUUAGCAUAUGGGGACCCAGACCAGCCUCCAACAUUUAGCUCUGAGUUAAGACGUGGGAAACUAGGUGGCUUUUAACCAGCCCAUAUUGCUGCCAGUGCUCAACCUUAGGGAAUUUUCACAGGGAAAAGGAAAAAAAAAAAAAGACACAAAAAACCAACAACAACAACACACACCACACACACAUAUAAAAUCAACAAAACCACAGUUUUCCUUGCUCCCCCAAACCAGAUGGCAGAUGGUAUGGAACCAAUAAAACACAGAUUCAAGCGUUUGUUUAUUUAAGUUUGAAAGUAAUAUGGCUUUGUGGUCCCUUGCAAGGAAACACCAACCUUCCAACCAAAGAAAUGACGGAUUACAGUCCAACCUCAGGGUGGCAGUUGGAGGAGAGAUUUCUGGGGAGGCAAUGGAAGGAGGGGCCAGGGACAACUCAUGGCAG
ensembl:lncRNA